UACGAAGGGGGCUAGCGUUGUUCGGAAUUACUGGGCGUAAAGCGCACGUAGGCGGAUAUUUAAGUGAGGGGUGAAAUCCCAGGGCUCAACCCUGGAACUGCCUCUCAUACUGGGUAUCUCGAGUUCGAGAGAGGUGAGUGGAAUUCCCAGUGUAGAGGUGAAAUUCGUAGAUAUUGGGAAGAACACCGGUGGCGAAGGCGGCUCACUGGCUCGUAACUGACGCUCAUGCACGACAGCGUGGGGAUCAAACAGG
rnacentral:rRNA from 1 species